UACAGAGGGGGCAAGCGUUGUUCGGAAUUACUGGGCGUAAAGGGCGCGUAGGCGGCCUUCUAAGUCGAACGUGAAAUCCCCGGGCUCAACCCGGGAACUGCGUCCGAUACUGGAAGGCUUGAAUCCGGGAGAGGGAUGCGGAAUUCCAGGUGUAGCGGUGAAAUGCGUAGAUAUCGAGAGGAACACCUGCGGCGAAGGCGGGUUGCUGGGCUGACACUGACGCUGAUGCGCGAAGCCAGGGAGCGAAGCGGG
rnacentral:rRNA from 1 species